rnacentral:rRNA from 1 species
AUGAACAAGAAGUAUCCAGCGGCACAAAAAUGGCUGUACAGAGAGUUCCCAGAACAUUAUAGGUGGACUGCCGCUAAUAAAAAAUCGCAAACGAGAAGAAGUAAGAGAUCACAGAUUGGAAGACUGGUGUAUGCACACCCUGCUGAAGGAGAGAGGUACUACUUGCGGGUGCUCCUAAGUCAUGUCCGAGGUGCCACUUCAUUUGAUGAUUUAAAACCAGUAAAUGGCAAGCCAUGCACUUCCUUCAGAGAGGCAUGUGAGCACUUAGGCCUCAUUGAGCAUGACAGGACACUGGAUGAUUGCAUGACGGAGGCAGCAACAUUUCAAAUGCCUUCUGCUCUUAGACGGUUGUUUGCGACUAUACUGGUAUUCUGUGAGGCAACACAAAUCCGUCAAUUGUGGAACAAACAUCUACCAUCGAUGGCUGAAGAUUACCGUCGCACUGAGUCGAACGAGGCAACACUUGAGCAGAUGGUCCUUAGAGAUGUCAGGGAUCUGGUGCAAUCCAUGGGUAAGGAUAUUAAAAUGUAUGGACUUCCAGAUCUGGUUGACACAGAUGGUUCUUCUGACGCCGAGUAUAGAGAGGUAACAGAGGAGAGACAAGUUAGAGUUGACCAAGAGCAUCUAGAUCUAUUUAGCUGUUUGAACAUUGAACAACUGGAUGGUUUCAACGACAUAAUGGAUCAUGUGACGAACCAAAAAAGCCAGAUAUUUUUUGUUGAUGGUCCAGGAGGCACUAGGAAGACGUACCUGUACAAGGCAUUGCUUGCGAAGGUCCGUUCGAUGGGCCUAAUAGCGAUCGCAACUGCUACAUCAGGUAUAGCGGCGUCAAUAAUGGCUGGAGGCCGGACUGCCCACUCCAGGUUCAAAAUUCCAAUCAAGCUCACUGACAACAACAUGUGUGGUUUCACAAAGCAGAGUGGUACGACAGAGUUGCUUAAACAGGCGUCCUUGAUAAUUUGGGAUGAAGUUGCUAUGACAAAGCAUCAAGCAGUUGAGACGCUUGACAGAUCGCUACAAGAUAUAAUGGAAUGUCCUCUGCCAUUUGGUGGAAAGGUUGUUGUCUUUGGUGGGGAUUUCAGGUAG